rnacentral:tRNA from 1 species
GGGGGUGGAUGAGUCCCGGUGGGCUCCGCGGUCUUCAAAACCGUUGAGGGGUGCGCAAGUGGCCCUGGUGGGUUCGACUCCCAUCCACUCCCGC